rnacentral:misc_RNA from 1 species
AUGAAAUGAAUGUUGAGAGGGGUUGUAGCUGGCCUUUUGGGGCAUGUGCACACCUUGAUCACAUAUCCACCUCUCACACCUGUGCACCAUCUGUAGCUUGGGAUGAUUACAAUGUUGGGAACAACAUUGAAAGCCCUGGCUAUGAAUUUUUAUACACUCAUAUACAAAGUUAUAGAAUGGAUAAUGUUAUAGCAUGUAAUAGUGCGAAUAUAUA